UACAGAGGUCUCAGGCGUUGUUCGGAAUCACUGGGCGUAAAGGGUGCGUAGGCGGCGGAGUAAGUCGGGUGUGAAAUUUGAAGGCUCAACCUUCAACUAGCACCUGAUACUGCUUUGCUCGAGACCUGGAGAGGAGCUUGGAAUUCUCGGUGUAGCAGUGAAAUGCGUAGAUUUCGAGAAGAACGCUCGCUGCGAAAAGCGAAGCUCUGGCCAGCGUCUGACGCUGAGGCACGAAGGCUAGGGGAGCAAACGGG
rnacentral:rRNA from 1 species